GACGAACGCUGGCGGCGUGCUUAACACAUGCAAGUCGAACGGAAAGGCCUUUUCGGCGGUACUCGAGUGGCGAACGGGUGCGUAACACGUGGGUGAUCUGCCCUGCACUCUGGGAUAAGCCUGGGAAACUGGGUCUAAUACCGGAUAGGACCGCACUUUAGUGUGUGUGGUGGAAAGUUUUUUCGGUGUAGGAUGAGCCCGCGGCCUAUCAGCUUGUUGGUGGGGUAAUGGCCUACCAAGGCGGCGACGGGUAGCCGGACUGAGAGGUUGGUCGGCCACAUUGGGACUGAGAUACGGCCCAGACUCCUAAGGGAGGGAGCAGUGGGGAAGAUUGCACAAUGGGCGCAAGCCUGAUGCAGCGACGCCGCGUGGGGGAUGACGGCCUUCGGGUUGUAAACUCCUUUCGCCAGGGACGAAGCGUUUUGUGACGGUACCUGGAGAAGAAGCACCGGCUAACUACGUG
rnacentral:rRNA from 1 species